rnacentral:lncRNA from 1 species
ACGUCAAGCCCAUUAACUUAAGUUGUAUGACAAUUUAAUGAAUAAAGAUUCAAAAAGGCCCAAAAGCCCAAAUCCCUUUAGGUGGCCGGCCAUGAAGGAGAAAAUUGGUUUUGGUUCUUUAGGUCACUUAUUUGAAGAGACUAUAUAAAGGACUUUAUAGCCUAAAAUUCAUUAAGGGCUUCUUUUUGGAGAAAAUUGGUGAGAACAUGUCUCUCCUUUUCUCUCUCUAGGAGGAAGGCCACCUUGGAGGGUACAUCUAGCAAUCCUACUACUCCAAGGUCACUCAUUUCUUCUACAAUCUAACCUUGGUGAAGAGACUUAGAGGUUCUCAAUUUUGGGAACUUGGAGAACCAUAUUCUUCCAUCCAAAUCCAUGGAUCUAAGAAUGCAAGGAAUGAAGGCCCUCUCUUUGGGUGAUUAGCCUUUGCUUAUGCAAAGAGGAAUCUACAAAGGUAUAAAUUUUCAACUCACUUUGUUUUGAGUUGAUUAAUGGUUCACCAAUCUACUAGGCUUUGAAUUUCUUGGUUAAUGUUUUGUUUUUUAAGUGCAUGCUAGCAUGAUUCCGCCUUUAAUUGUUAAUUGCAUGCUAUAUGAUGUUGCUUAAAUGAACAUGUUUUCACAAAAUAUUCCUUUCAAGUGGUAUCAGAGCCUAGGUCUAGUAGUUGGUGAAUCCUUUUGGGUUUUGGGUUUUGUAGUUCAUAGUUUGUGAUUUAAAAGUUGUAAUAUGUUACAAGCUUUAUUCUUGUUUCUUUGAAUGUAAAUUUUGUUAGAAAAUUUGCCAUCUCAAAUGUUGUAGAUGUAGUUCAUAUGAGCAUGAAUAUUGGAGCUAAAAUUUGGUGCCAUGACUUUGGGAAAAUUCGGCCAAAUCCAAAGGGUGGAUUUUUGGGUUCUUGUUUGACUUGUUAAAAGUGUUUUCAAGUGACUUUUGGAACCCCUAUGUACCCUAGUUUGGUUAUAUGUUAUUUCCCUAAAGUUUGAAUGGUUUUGGGAUGUUUUUGGAUGAAAAAUGUUCAUGGAGCUCUUAUGGGUUUUCAUGGAUGUUCUUCAUUGUUCUUGACAUUUUUGCCAAGAACAAAAAAAGGUUUGAUGUUUUGAUUCAAAGUUUUGGUUAAUUUCAUAAAGUCUUUGUUUUGUGUUGGUUGAUGUGAAUUUUCUAUCACCAAAACAUUUAUUUUGAAAGGUGAUAGAAAUUGUGAUGGGUGUGUAAGACCUUACACACCUUACACACCACAUGCAUGGUUUUAUGAUUCACAACAACCAAAUUCCACUUGCAAGGCUUUAUGACUUAGUUGAAAAAAUUUCCAAAUUUUUGUGGACUUAUCUCCACUCCCUUUCCCUCUCUAAAAACCGGCCCUCCCUCAAUGGGAGUACUUUUGGGUCUUUUAUGCAAUUACAUAAAGUUUUGAUACUUUUGUGUAUUUGCACUUUGGCCCAAAAGUUUACGUUUUUACGUUUAGGUCCAAAAACGCUAAAGGACAAAUUGUUUUGCUCCUUUAAUGAAGUUUUUGCAUUGAUUAAAUUUUGGGUUCUAUUGUAAUUACAUGAAGUAGUGGACUUUUGUGUCUUUACAAAGUGACCCCAAAAGUUUUGCAAUAUAGCCCAAAAGUUGAGGUUAAUUGCUUUAUGGCCCAAAUUAGGUAGAGAACAAAAUUGUUUUGUCUCUUUAAAUGAGAAUUGGAUUUUCAUUUUGUUUAGCUCCAUUUAAAUCAAUUUUAUGGAUACAAAAACCAAAUGAAAAUGUUGCAUUCAAUUUAAUUAGUUAAAGUGUUAAUUAAUUAAAGGGUGAUUAUGAACCUAAGCCUAAUAUAAUUGAGCUAUGUGAAAGGCCGUUUCAAAUUUGUUUGAACCAUGGGAAUGAGUAGAUUAGAUUUUGGUUGUAAUUUGAUUUGAUCAAAUGUUGUAAAAGGGCUUAAGCUCUUCUUUACUUUAAAGUAAUUUGUUAUAUGCAAAUGUUGUAAUGAGCAUAAGCUCACCUUUACUUUGAAGUACUUCUUUCUUGCUUUAUUUGAUAUGCAUGAAAAUGAAGUAGUUGGGUCCAACGCCCCUAAGACAACACGCCUUAAUGUGAUUAAACGCGUAACUAAAAUCAAUCACCAUCCCUAGACCGAGAUUCAACACUAGGCUCGUGUUGGAUCUAAUCAAAGGUUCAUAGUCAUCCUAAGGCCCUAAGGCAACUAUAUAGUCCAUCAAAUGAAUGCAAAGUUUAUGUUAGUAGUAUCAUAUACUCUUGCUUUAAAAAAACCGUUUUAUAAGCAUAGUGGGAGUAUUAUAUACAACUAAAACAAUCAUAUGGACCAAUAGUUGUAAUAGGACCAAAAUUGUUUUAAUAAAGAUUAAAAUGUAUGUUUAUAUGUGAUGAGACCUAAAACCCUCAACCAAACCAUUAUUAAGUUGAUAAGCGGAGAGUGCUUUGAACACUCUUUCGUGGCCUUCCACCGUGGUAGGCUCCAAUCGUUUGUGACUCGUACACCGGCUUCACCCUAUAAUGGGGGAGUACAAAGUGCGUGCUUACACUCAGGAGGAGUUCUAUAUACAUACAUGAUGAAGUGAGGUAGGCAACGAGUUUAGCCAACAUGAUAUCAUUCUGAGGCUAUUGCUUGAACCCCUACACGAACUAGGCAUGGUGGGAAUGACUUAACUAAGUGCAAUGGAGCCAACAUGAUAUCAUUGUGAGGCAUCAUUCUCUAGAGGCCAAAUAAGAUGGGUACUUGCAAUUAGAUGCAAAUGAGUAAGCGUACUCUCUCAUUAUUAUUAAUGCUAGCCAACAUGAUAUAAUUCUGAGGUGGGCUUGGUAAUAGUGAGCCUCCCAUAACCUACUAAGAGUUUCCUCCAAAACUCUCGAAUUCCAAUGAGGGAUAUGGAAUUUGCCAAAAAUAGUGGGUGGUGCUAUUUGAUUUAAAGACCCAGAUCAAAUGGCUUAAAAUCAAUCAAUUUAUAUUCGUUAUGUAUUUGUUUACCAAUAUAUUUGCAAACGCUAUCCAACACUUGACAAAUAAAACCGAAUGUUUUAGUUUCCGGACUUGGUACCACAAUCCCAAAGAAUGUCUUAAUAAAUGGAUUGCAUAUGUACCUAAGUAGUCUCAUCCUCACAAUCUUCCUAUUGAUAAUGUAUCAUUGGAAGAACAUGUUAGAAAAGUCUAUCAUGAAGAGGACAACACAAACAACCAAUGCUUAAUCCUUUGUUAAAUGAACAAAGGAACUUACGAAGAUUAGCAUAAUGACAAGGACACUUUUAGUGUUAUUAGUUCUUCACUUACAAAUCGUUGUAUGAAGAAAUAAGAGUUGCUUUGAACAACCCUUAGUCAAUGCAAACACUUAGUGCUUGUUUCUUUGUUAAAUGAACAAAGAACUUGAGAAGAAAGCACAAAGGCAUGGACACUUUAUGUGCCAUGAUUCUUCACUUACAAAUUGUUGUAUGAAGAAAUGAGAGUUGCCUUGUACAACUCUUGAAAGUUUGUAAUUAUGUUUAGAACAUAAUGGUUGGUUGACAAAAAUAGUCCAUUAACAUGGACUUAUGAUGAUUUUUGAAUCAUUGAGUGUUGAAGUGAUAAACCACUUAACGAGACGGAAACUAGGCAAGGACUUCACCUUUGUGUCCCUAUCCUAAUGGUUCACUAAGUUUAUUGUAAACUAUGUAGUGAACAAUAACCACAUGCUCUCCAAAAUGUUUGAUGUGUAUAACACAAUUGAAAUAAGUUUCAAGAGAGAUAGUGGGAGUUUAGGGACCAUGACUAUUGUAGUCAAAGGAGAAGUCAAAUGAAGAAGAUAAAAUUAACUCCAAGGGAACAAACUUUCUUUAUGAAAGGAUGGACAUUGGAAGGGGUAUUUGCAAGAAAUGUCUUGCAAGUGUCAAGAACACACCUUUCGAAGGUGUUGUAAAUUGUUCUUGAAUAGUUCAAAACAGUUGGUUCUUCUACUUGAAUGCUUGAUUCCGUAUUAGUAACUAUGUUUUACAAUCGUUGUAAAAGUGUGACUAAUAAGAAGUAAAAGAUAUAUGAGAGAAGAAAAAGGUGCUUCACAUUCGGAACGUGAAUAAAAUAUAGAUCUCUGCGAAAGCAGAUAGUACUUACUUCCUCAUAUGAACUACCAAAGAAAUUGAAAAAAAAACCAAAGAUUGUCUUUACAUUCCAAUUUUAAGGAAUUUAAUUCCGUCACUAUAGUAGAGAUGGAUGAAUGUUUUGUUUGACAAAACAUUGUUCUUUAUUAAUCAAUGAUUGGAUUAUGGUAAUCUAAUUGAUUGUCUCUAUAGUAGAGAUAAUAUGGUGGUGUUAACUGUUUAGAAUAUAAUGAUGCUUAAAACCCAAAAGGUUGCAAGGUAGUGACUAAUCCCAACUAAAGUUGUGAUACCUCUAAAACAUAAAUUACGAGUUGGUCAUAGAUGGACGCUUUGGAUCGUUAGAUCCGGAUCCAAUACCUUCUUGUUAAAAUUGUAUAGAGGCGAAAUGUUCGAAUCUUUAUUCUUUUGGAAAGAAGAAAGAAUCACAAAGUUGUUGAGGUUAAUUCACUUAGAUGUUAGUGGCACUUGUCCACAAACAUAAUACUACUCAUGUUGUGUGACAUUCACCGAAGAUCACUCUCGGUUGGACUAUAGUUUAUUUUGAAUAAACACAAGUCCGAAUACUUUGCAAAAUGUUUUAAAGAAUUCAAGAAAUGUAAGUUGAUGAGUAAGACAUCUAAAGUAUUUACCUCCUUAGAUUUGAUCCAAGGAAAGGUAACACUUUAGAUGAGUUUCCUUGAAAGAUAUCAAGGAAAAUAGCAUCAUAAGAUAAUGUAUUUCUCCAUUAGGAGAAGAACGAACUCGAAUAAGAUUUAGUUCGUUAGAUGUUAUCUAUUACCCAUAUAUAGGAUAUAUACUUCUAAAAACAAUAUGAUUGUCAAUUAGAAGAUCUUCCAAAUUUUUCAUGACUCCAUAAGAUGUAGUUGGAAAGAAAAACAAAUCUUAAAACAUGUUAAGAUUUGGGGUUGUGUGUUAAUAAACAAUAUUUGUUUGAUAACAAUCUUGUGGGAUAUCCUUAAAUUAACUUUUGGAUAUCGCUUCUAUAAACCAACUAACAAAUGUUGUUUUGUUGGGUAGUUCAUUGUAAUCCUACAAUGUGAUUUGCCUAAGAGCAAAUGAACGAGAGAUAGAACUCAAAGAAUGGUUCUUUGAGAGACAAGAUAAUAAUCAACAAAUAAAACAACCUAGUUCCUAUACCAAAAGCUCCAAGGUAGUCGAUAAGGAUUUAUAAACCGUCUCAGUUGAAUGGUUUUUUGAACUUUAUGACUAAGUCAUAGAGUUGCACCUCUUAAUUCGAAAGAACUAAGAAUGAAAAUCCUUAUGACUACAAUGAGUGUAUAUAUAUGAUAUAUACUCAAGGAAAUGGUAAAGUACCAUUUGACUCGAAAUAAUGAAACCUUCAUAGCUAAUUGGUAGCUUAAGGUGACUACAAUCAAAGAGAAUGGUUGACUUUGAAGGAAUCAUUUUUUACGUAGUCUUAGUUUCAAUUAAUUCGAAGAUUGCUAGCUACAACUAAAUGGUGAUUCAAUGUUUGGACAUAAUAUGGGUUUCCGAAACCAUUAUUAAGAUAGUCUUGAUAAUAUAUGUCUAAAACUAUAAAUCACAAGACAUGUAAGUUGUAGAGAUCCAUCCAUCAUGAAUCUUAGCAAGCUAGUGGGAGCUAUAAGCGUCUUAUGAGAGAAAGAUCAAAUCGUUUGAUUUCUCAUAAAGAUGUAAAUGAAUCUUUUGUUUACUAGGUUUACAAAAGAUUAGUGGGAGUUAAUCAUAUUCCUAAAUUUGUAUAUAUAUAUAAAUAUAUAUGUGAUAUAUAUGAAUAUAUAUAUAUAUAUAUAUGAUAUAUUAAUUUUGGAAAUGAAAAGAAUACUUCUUCGUUAAAGUUAUGACUUUAAACAUUCUAUAAACGAUAGAAUGUAUAUGGGAGAUAUAGUCUAUAUACAUGGGAUGGAAAUCUAUAAUGAUAUAUUUCAUGAUAUAAUUGGAUUAUAUCAAUCCCUAAUAAUAGACAAUGGAUGUUAGGAGGUUUCUCAUAUGAUGAUAAACUUCAAUUAGAAGGAUGACUCUAGUGUGACCAGCAAGUUGCCAUUCUCAAAGGGAACGUGCCCUUUUGACUCCCAAAGAAAUAAUGCGUAAAUAGAAUCCUUUAUGCAUACGCAUAAAGGUGAUUUAUGUAUUUCAUAUUGUAUGAAAAACAUUGAUAUGAGUUGUACCUAGAACGGUACAAGACGAUAUCAGUGCAAGCCCAGGAUCAGAACCAUGGCAACUGUCAAGUGAGUCCUUAAGUAUUUAAGAAAUACUAAAGGAUAAAUUCCUCAAAGAUCGAGGAAGAAUUAGAGUAACGUAAUGGAAGCGUAAAUGUAUUAGAUUAUGAAUCUAAUCCAUCAUUGGAUGUUUCUUCAUUAUGAAUGAAGAGAUAAACAGAUAUCUCUUUAUUAUGACUAAAGAGAUAUUUGGAUGGAAACAUUAAAGUAAUGACUUUAGUGUGUUCCAUUAUGAAUGCAAAAUAUAUUGCCAUAUAGAAGCUUACAACAAUGUUGUUUGGAUGGGAAAGUUCAUUUAUGAACUCUCUAUUCGGUUCCAACCAGAAAGUGUAUGACACUAAUGGGGCGAUAGCUCAAGCCAGGGAAUCAAGGUCUCAUCAAGAUCCGAACUCAUAUGAGAGACUGAACCACAUGAUUGAGAAUCAUGUAUAAUGGUGACGUCGUUAUUCUCAAGGUUGCUUCUAUGGAUAACAUAUAGAUAUCCAUUGUCUAGGCCUACUAUUCAGCCAUUUAUGAAAUGACUACAGAAGAGGUAUCAUCACUGAUGACUAAGCUGAUUGGCUCUAGUGCAAGUGGGAGAUUGUUGGAAAUGUGCCCUAAAACCAAUCAUAUGAUGAUACUUUACGGACAUUUCACAUGUUAAACUAAUCUAGUUUAAAUAUAAAGGGCAAAGAUUAUUGUUUGAGCCGUCUCAUAUAAAUGUUAUAUGCUUAAACGAUAAAGUCCAAGGAAUAUGUGAUUGGGAGAAUGCAAUCUAAUGAAGUUAGAUUCAUGAGACCAUUCUUUCGUAGACACAUCCUAAAUGUUCCUGAUCAUAGGAUUGCCAAUUGGGCAUUGACAGUCCGUUAAGAUCGGUACGUGCUGUGUCUUCUCUCAGGGAGAGUGACUAGUCUCGAGUCAUUGGUGUGUGUGACAUCAAGACAAGUACGUAGGUGCUCAAUAGAGAAUGAGUUCACUGAACACGAUCAACGAAGAGUUCUCAUAUUCAUGUCACAUGAGAACUCAUGGUUGGGAUAAUGCAAAGUAGUCCUUUGACCUGAGGCAUCACAGUUGUCUUGUGGUUAAGUCCUUGAUCUUUGAUUAUGUCAAAGUCAUUCCAUUGGAGUGUCCACGGCAUCGUUGGGGUUAAGCCACUUAGCCAUGGAGGCAAGUGAAUGCGCAACAAGGGAUCUCUAACCUUCAAACCGUUUGAAGGAGAAUACUCUAUGAUAUGAUUUAGAAAUGUCGUUCUAAAUCACAUUCAAGGUAAUCAUAUAAGCACACGAAUCACAUUGGAUAGUAGACAUGAAUAAAUAAACUAUCAAACCAAACAAUGUGGUCAAGAGUAUUAGAUUAGAGAAAGACCGUAUUGCAUUUGUAAUCCUAAACUGAAUAGGUUCUCCACCUCUUCUGAUUAGCUUGGGUAACCAUGAUAUGCUGCUAGGUGUCACUCAUGGUUUGUGGAAGCCCUAAACGUGUAUAAUCACUAAAGGGAGAAUUGAAAGUAAGUUUCAAUUCACAAUCGAUUGUAAAAUGAGUUUUAAUCGCCCACUGCCUCGCUAAAAGGAACCUAAUGGAUCGUACACCGUGUAAGGUGGAGAUUGAAGAAACAAUGGAGAUGAGUAAGAAUAAUUAAAUGGUUUAAUUAUUUAUGGCAAGGAUUAAUUAAUAUGUUAAUUAAUCAAACGAAUAAGUUCGUUAAAGACCUCGGGAUAGUUUUGGACCUUAAGGCCCAAUGGGCUUUCGAACGUCAAGCCCAUUGACUUAAGUUGUAUGACAAUUUAAUGAAUAAAGAUUCAAAAAGGCCCAAAAGCCCCAAAUCCCUUUAGGUGGCCGGCCAUGAAGGAGAAAAUUGGUUUUGGUUCUUUAGGUCACUUAUUUGAAAGAGACUAUAUAAAGGACUUUAUAGCCUAAAAUUCAUUAAGGGCUUCUUUUUGGAGAAAAUUGGUGAGAACAUGUCUCUCCUUUUCUCUCUAGGAGGAAGGUCACCUUGGAGGGUACAUCUAGCAAUCCUACUACUCCAAGGUCACUCAUUUCUUCUACAAUCUAACCUUGGUGAAGAGACUUAGAGGUUCCCUAUUUUGGGAACUUGGAGAAACCUAUUCUU